UACGAAGGGGGCUAGCGUUGUUCGGAUUUACUGGGCGUAAAGCGCGUGUAGGCGGGCCGUUAAGUCGGGUGUGAAAGCCCCGGGCUCAACCUGGGAAUUGCAUUCGAGACUGAAUAGCUAGGGUACGGUAGAGGGAAGCGGAAUUUCCGGUGUAGCGGUGAAAUGCGUAGAUAUCGGAAGGAACAUCAGUGGCGAAAGCGGCUUCCUGGACCAGUACCGACGUUCAGGCACGAAAGCGUGGGGAGCAAACAGG
rnacentral:rRNA from 1 species